GAUAGCGCACCAGUACCGUGAGGGAAAGGUGAAAAGCACCCCGGGAGGGGAGUGAAACAGUACCUGAAACCGUGCGCCCACGAGCAGUCGGAGCAACUUUCAGUUGUGACGGCGUGCCUUUUGUAGAAUGAGCCAGCGAGUCGCUGGCGCGGGGCGAGGUUAACCGAAAGGGAGCCGGAGCGAAAGCGAGCCUUAACAGGGCGACUUGAGUCCCGCGCCGCGGACGCGAAGCCGGGUGAGCUAUCCGUGGGCAGGCUGAAGCGGGGGUAAGACCCCGUGGAGGGCCGAACGCACGUCGGUUGAAAACGGCGGCGAUGACCUGCGGAUAGGGGUGAAAGGCCAAUCAAACCCGGAGAUAUCUCGUUCUCCCCGAAAUAGCUUUAGGGCUAGCGUCGCGCGUUCACCGCCGGAGGUAGAGCACCGGAUGGACGAGGGGGCUUCGCCGCCUACCGAAUCCAACCGAACUCCGAAUGCCGGCGGCCCAGAGCGCGGCAGUCAGAGCAUGUGGGCUAAGCUGUGUGCUCGAGAGGGAAACAGCCCGGACCGCCCGCUAAGGUCCCCAAGUUCCAGCCGAGUGGCAAAGGAUGUGCGUCCGCCCAGACAACCAGGAUGUUGGCUUAGAAGCAGCCAUACAUUCAAAGAGUGCGUAACAGCUCACUGGUCGAGUGGACAUGCGCCGACAAUACACGGGGCUAAGCUGGACACCGAAGCGGCGGGAUUUUAUUUUAUAGAAUCGGUAGGGGAGCUUCCCAUGGGCGGAGAAGCCGGAGGGCGACCGACGGUGGAGCGCAUGGGAGUGAGAAUGCUGGCAUGAGUAGCGAGAGACGAGAGAGUAACUCGUCCGCCGUGAACCCGAGGUUUCCUGGGCAAGGCUAAUCCUCCCAGGGUCAGUCGGGGGCUAAGGCGAGGCCGGUAGGCGUAGCCGACGCGCAGCAGGCAGACAUUCCUGCACCGCGCACGCGGCGCUACGACCGACGGGGCGACGGAUGGGGGUGGCUCGGCGGGGUUCUGGACGUCCCCGUGAUGGAGCGCGGCCCGCGGACCAGGGAAAUCCGGUCCGCACGAGGGCGAGGCUCCGGACGAAGCGAUUGAGCGAAGCGAGUGAGCCCGAGGUCCCUAGAAAAACCCCUAGGCAGGCGCGUGCGCGCCCGUACCGCAAACCGACACAGGUGGGUGGGUAGAACAUACCGAGGCGAUCGGGUCAACCAUGGUCAAGGAACUCGGCACAAUGGCCCCGUAACUUCGGGAGAAGGGGUGCCCGCGCGUACGUGAACCGGCUUGCCCGGGGAGCGGAGGCGGGCCGCAGUGGAGAGGCCCAAGCGACUGUUUACCAAAAACACAGGACUCUGCAGAAGCCGCAAGGCGACGUAUAGGGUCUGACGCCUGCCCGGUGCCGGAAGGUCACGCGGAGGAGUUAGCCGUAUCGGCGAAGCCCCGAAGCCAAGCCCCGGUAAACGGCGGCCGUAACUAUAACGGUCCUAAGGUAGCGAAAUUCCUUGUCGGGUAAGUUCCGACC
rnacentral:rRNA from 1 species